UUCUCCUUCCCUUCCUCUCCUUCAGAAAAUACUUCUAAAAGAUAAUAAUUAAUACGCCUUGGGGUCUAACACCUGGGGACCCACAGGUUGAGAACCACUGGCCUAGAGGCAAUACACCUCUAGGUAUCUGCCAAGAGAGAGGACACCAGCAUGUGAAGCACGAACCCAGUAUUUGUUAUGAUAAGAAGAGCUUUCAAAACAAUAUUUUGCUCUAUAUGUUAGGAUCUCUCUGUCCUCAAUGGCCCAUUUCUUACUCCUCUGUUAUAAUUCUGUGUCCAUUGCCUUCACAUCUGGAUACCUGACUCACUUUUAAAAGAAAAAUAUGGUGUCCAACAAAUCUGAACCUGCAAAGCAGGAGUUAACAUUUCUGGGCUUCCUCAGUAUGCCAGAACUGAGAUCAGAUCAGAUCAGAUAUGGAUGUAAGGUUAAUACUUUACUUCUGUAUCUUUAAUAAAAGGUUAAUCUUCACUCUUGGCUUCUGCCAGAAUCCUUUCAUUUAGCUAAAAUGCUUUCUUUUGCUGCUUUCAGAGUUUGGCUUCCCACUACUGAUUGCUGGAACCUUGUCAAUGUUUCCCUUAAUUUUGAUGGGCAUUUUGUUUUUGAGGGUUUUUUUUUGUUUUGUUUUGAUGGCCUGUGUUUUCUUGUAUUUGUCAAGUAAUCUGUUCGGUUAUAUUAAUAUGUUCUUUGCUAUUCCCCUUGAGUUUUCUCUGGAGAAAAAUCAUAGAGUAUACUGGGCAAGGAGUACUGUUAUGAUUGAGCCUCAUGGCUCUGCUUCUGGCAGACGUGGACGUAAGACUCCUCGAGAGUCAGAUACUCUCGAGGAGCGCGAAAGAAAGAGGCUGCGAGAUAUCUUUGCAGAACCAUCUGACGAAGAGUCUUUUGAGGGGUUUACGGAGAGAAUGGAGGAAGAGCUGGUUAGCUCAGAAAAGGAUGAGAUGGAUUGGACUCGGGUAAGGGAGGAGUUGGGUGCCACUGGCAAUGAUGGGAUGGAAGAUGAUUGGGGACCUUCAGGACUAGACCCAUGGACAAGCUGGAGGGAUGGGACGGGAUCCACAGCUGGGGAUGCUGUGGGGCGUAGUCAGAGGUGUUCCAGUUCUGAUGAGGAAAGUGAUGAGGAAACGCCCGGGUUAAGAAGAACAGCUGAUAGUGAUGAGGACUUGUAACUGGCAUAAAAUGGGGCUUGCGAGCAAUAGCAAAUUGCGUUGGGCAAGGUAAUCUGGACAAACGCUUGGGAUCUGUGUGGGACGUUUUCCUGAAGACGGGUGUGUUUCGUGUGCUGAUUACCUUUGACCUUCCGUCGUCUUCUUGACGGACGCCAUCUGCUGCUCUGGAUUUACGGACUGAACUGACUACGGGCUUGGAUUCUCCUUCUGGACUUGGAAAACUGCAAACGUCUGCUUCUGCCUAUCGACCUUCGGAAAGAACUGGGACUACUCUACUGCUUCAAUCCUCGGCUGUUGUGUUUGUAUUGGAAGUUUGCCUGCUGGGUGUAGGAGUGACUUCUAAGUUACUCAAAACAUAGUACUGGCAGCAGAGAGGCAUCUGCUGCCAAUUAGUUACAUUCUUUUGAACUCUUUGUUUCCCAGCUUCUGUUUUGUUUGUUCCCAAGCUGAAGCAAGCUGUUUUGAUUUUACCCGGAUUAAACUCCGGUUUAAUCCGGUUUAUCUUUUGAACGUUUUCCUUGCCCCUUUUUGCUUUUUGAGGCUAAUGUUGCCUGGCCCUUGUCUUUUACGGGCAUUUUGAGUUCUGUAAAUCCAAUAAACUCUGUUAUCUUUGA